rnacentral:rRNA from 1 species
AGGGACAUAAGGAUAAGGAACGGACAUAGAACCGUUUUCAAAUCGGAGGUCUCGGAAGCGACCUGAGAAGGAAUAUCUGAAAUCUGGUAUCUGAAGUCUAAUAUCUGUGUUAGUGGCGGACGGGUGAGUAACGCGUGAGCAACCUGCCUUUCAGAGGGGGAUAACGUUUGGAAACAGACGCUAAUACCGCAUAAGAUAGUAGUAUCGCAUGGUACGGCUAUCAAAGGAGCAAUCCGCUGAGAGAUGGGCUCGCGUCCGAUUAGAUAGUUGGUGGGGUAACGGCCUACCAAGUCAGCGAUCGGUAGCCGGACUGAGAGGUUGAACGGCCACAUUGGGACUGAGACACGGCCCAGACUCCUACGGGAGGCAGCAGUGGGGGAUAUUGCACAAUGGGCGAAGGCCUGAUGCAGCAACGCCGCGUGAGGGAAGACGGUUUUCGGAUUGUAAACCUCUGUCUUUGGUGAAGAAAGAAAUGACGGUAGCCAAGGAGGAAGCCACGGCUAACUACGUG